GAUGAACGCUGGCGGCGUGCUUAACACAUGCAAGUCGAGCGAUGAAGUUUCCUUCGGGAAACGGAUUAGCGGCGGACGGGUGAGUAACACGUGGGUAACCUGCCUCGUAGAGUGGAAUAGCCUUCCGAAAGGAAGAUUAAUACCGCAUAACGUUGAAAGAUGGCAUCAUCAUUCAACCAAAGGAGCAAUCCGCUAUGAGAUGGACCCGCGGCGCAUUAGCUAGUUGGUGGGGUAACGGCCUACCAAGGCGACGAUGCGUAGCCGACCUGAGAGGGUGAUCGGCCACAUUGGGACUGAGACACGGCCCAGACUCCUACGGGAGGCAGCAGUGGGGAAUAUUGCACAAUGGGGGAAACCCUGAUGCAGCAACGCCGCGUGAGUGAUGAAGGUUUUCGGAUCGUAAAGCUCUGUCUUUGGGGAAGAUAAUGACGGUACUCAAGGAGGAGGCCACGGCUAACUACGUGCCAGCAGCCGCAGUAA
rnacentral:rRNA from 1 species